rnacentral:rRNA from 1 species
GUAGGUGGCAAGCGUUGUCCGGAAUUAUUGGGCGUAAAGCGCGCGCAGGCGGUCCUUUAAGUCUGAUGUGAAAGCCCGCGGCUCAACCGUGGAGGGUCAUUGGAAACUGGGGGACUUGAGUACAGAAGAGGAAAGCGGAAUUCCAAGUGUAGCGGUGGAAUGCGUAGAGAUUUGGAGGAACACCAGUGGCGAAGGCGGCUUUCUGGUCUGUAACUGACGCUGAGGCGCGAAAGCGUGGGGAGCAAACAGGAUUAGAUACCCUGGUAGUCCACGCCGUAAACGAUGAGUGCUAAGUGUUAGGGGGUUUCUGCCCCUUAGUGCUGCAGCUAACGCAUUAAGCACUCCGCCUGGGGAGUACGGCCGCAAGGCUG